AUUGAACGCUGGCGGCAGGCCUAACACAUGCAAGUCGAACGGUAACAGGAAGAAGCUUGCUUCUUUGCUGACGAGUGGCGGACGGGUGAGUAAUGUCUGGGAAACUGACUGAUGGAGGGGGUUAACUACUGGAAACGGUAGCUAAUACCGCAUAACGUCGCAAGACCAAAGAGGGGGACCUUCCGGCCUCUUGCCAUCGGAUGUGCCCAGAUGGGAUUAGCUAGUAGGUGGGGUAACGGCUCACCUAGGCGACGAUCCCUAGCUGGUCUGAGAGGAUGACCAGCCACACUGGAACUGAGACACGGUCCAGACUCCUACGGGAGGCAGCAGUGGGGAAUAUUGCACAAUGGGCGCAAGCCUGAUGCAGCCAUGCCGCGUGUAUGAAGAAGGCCUUCGGGUUGUAAAGUACUUUCAGCGGGGAGGAAGGGAGUAAAGUUAAUACCUUUGCUCAUUGACGUUACCCGCAGAAGAAGCACCGGCUAACUCCGUG
rnacentral:rRNA from 1 species